rnacentral:rRNA from 1 species
GACGUAGGAGGCGAGCGUUGUCCGGAUUCAUUGGGCGUAAAGAGCGCGCAGGCGGCUUGGUAAGUCGGAUGUGAAAACCCGAGGCUCAACCUCGGGUCUGCAGUCGAUACGGGCGGACUGGAGUUCGGCAGGGGAGACUGGAAUUCCUGGUGUAGCGGUGAAAUGCGCAGAUAUCAGGAGGAACACCGGUGGCGAAGGCGGGUCUCUGGGCCGAUACUGACGCUGAGGAGCGAAAGCGUGGGGAGCGAACAGG